rnacentral:rRNA from 1 species
GACGAACGCUGGCGGCGUGCUUAACACAUGCAAGUCGAACGGAAAGGCCUCUUUCGGGGGGUACUCGAGUGGCGAACGGGUGAGUAACACGUGAGUAACCUGCCCUUGACUUUGGGAUAACUUCAGGAAACUGGGGCUAAUACCGGAUAGGAGCUCCUGCUGCAUGGUGGGGGUUGGAAAGUUUCGGCGGUUGGGGAUGGACUCGCGGCUUAUCAGCUUGUUGGUGGGGUAGUGGCUUACCAAGGCUUUGACGGGUAGCCGGCCUGAGAGGGUGACCGGCCACAUUGGGACUGAGAUACGGCACAGACUCCUACGGGAGGCAGCAGUGGGGAAGAUUGCACAAUGGGUGGAAGCCUGAUGCAGCAACGCCGUGUGGGGGAUGACGGCCUUCGGGUUGGAAACCGCUUUCGCUCAUGACGAAGCGUUGUGUGACGGUAGUGGGUAAAGAAGCACCGGCUAACUACGU